rnacentral:rRNA from 1 species
GACGAACGCUGGCGGCAGGCCUAACACAUGCAAGUCGAACGCCGUAGCAAUACGGAGUGGCAGACGGGUGAGUAACGCGUGGGAACAUACCCUCCGGUUCGGAAUAACUCAGGGAAACUUGAGCUAAUACCGGAUACGUCCAAGGUUUUAAUCGGCCUUGGAGAAAGAUUUAUCGCUGGAGGAUUGGCCCGCGUCUGAUUAGCUUGUUGGUGAGGUAAUGGCUCACCAAGGCGACGAUCAGUAGCUGGUCUGAGAGGAUGAUCAGCCACAUUGGGACUGAGACACGGCCCAAACUCCUACGGGAGGCAGCAGUGGGGAAUAUUGGACAAUGGGCGAAAGCCUGAUCCAGCCAUGCCGCGUGAGUGAUGAAGGCCUUAGGGUUGUAAAGCUCUUUUACCCGGGAAGAUAAUGACGGUACCGGGAGAA